CUGGUUGGAACAUCCCCUCCUCAUCAAGGCAUCUCUCUGGUCUGAACUCCUCUGCAUCAUCACCCCAAAUGAAUUUCAUUCUGCCCAUUGCAUAAGGUUCAUAACAAACCAUAUCUCCUUUCCUCACACUGAACCCAUCUGGAAGAGUUUCAUCAGACAAGCAUAUCUUUGCAUCCUGCAAUCAAAGUGAAGAGGUAGUGAGAACCAAAGAAAACCCCAGAACAUAGCAAGGAAGCUAAUUUCUAGCCUUCCCGAUAUGCAUUGAAUGGAUAUCAGUUUAUCGAUGCAUGUUCUUUGAUGUGCAUUAACAAGUUCAGUUGGAGGAUUCAAGAUUCAAGGCAACUUUGCUUACAACUGGAACAGCGGGGUAGAGCCUUAAUGUUUCAGUUAAGGCUGCAUGGAGAUAGUGCAUUUUUCCUAGGGCUUCUUCGCUCAAGAUAGCAGCAAAUUCAGCAAAAUCUUUAACCUCCUUCGUGUCAGUUGCUUCCUUCACUUCUUGUGCAACCUUUUCUUGAACAUCAGGAUGCUUGCAGAGCAUGUAAAUAAACCACGACAGAGUAGCUGUCGUUGUGUCUUUCCCAGCAAUUAUGAAGUUAAGGAUUAUAUCUCGCAAGUAUGUUGGAUCAGUGUCACUCACUUGUAGAAAUCUGGAUAAAAUGUCUUCCUUUUUCAUCUGCAUAAUCUGUAGAAAAUAAUAAUUUCAAUAUUCUACUUCAACAGGUAAUAUAAGCUGUUAACUAUAAGUAGCUCUACUGUUCUAGUUCACUCACUGAAGCUUCAUCCUUUGAGUUGCGUAUUGGCUCAAUCUUGUUGUGGAUCAGCUUAUACACAAAAUUAUCAACCACUUCUAUACUUUUCUUCAGUGUGGCCUCUGAUCCAAUAUUUAGAAAUCUUUUGAUCUUCUAGAAGAUAUCAACAUAUCGGAAGAGGAUUGCUGCACUUGAAUCAUCAAAAGCAGCUGUAAACUGUUUGCCUUCUAAAUUUGAUCCACACAUGCUGUCUAGUUCGACUCCAAAUGCAACUUUGAAUAGUGAAUCUAAAGUCGAUUUCAUAAACAAGUCCUGCACAAUAUAUCGUUAUAACAGAUCCAUUUUAUAUAUCACUCUGCAUUGAUCUUGCCAUUAGGUGAACUUACCUGUAUAUCCAUUAUCUCAUUGGAAUUUGCUGCUUCAGACACUAUAGUUGCAAGUUUUGCCGCAUUUUCCCGAAAGACUACACUGCUGAAAUCUCUCAAGACCUUGGUUGAGAAUUCAUAGCUUGAUACUUUCCUCUGUUGACGCCACUUAUCACCAUCGACAGUGAAAAUCCCAUCACCUAGUAAACCCUUUAGCAAGCUGUAAUUGUACUCACCCUGCACAGAAAAUUAAACAGUUUGGAAAACCAAAACAACUCCACCAUUCUGCCUUUUGGGUGGCCAUAUAAUUAUCAAAAGCCCUCUCAUUCCAACUAAUCACUCUGCGGCAUAUUAGCAUCUACAAUUGACUUACUUGUGGCGAGAUUGAGACCCUUUUUCUUAAUCUAAUUACGGGUGUUUCUGUCUAAGCUACUUACACUAACCAAUCACCGGGAGAGUUCAGAAUUUUCUAGACCAACAAAUUAUUUGUGACUUUGAGGUGUGAAACGAGAGUCGGCACCAUACCUUGCCAUAUUUCUGGAAAUUUGUUUUUAGAAUAUACUCAACAUUGUCUGGUUCCGAGGUAUAAAUCUCAUUCCUGAAAGGGCUAAGCAGCCUGUAGUUCCUGUACUUCCCAGCAAGAUCAGUCAUAUAGUGAUGCAAUCUUCUGAAGUUGAGGAGCUGGUUAAAAACCGUUCCGCCAACGGGAUGGUACUUGGCCUUAUUUUUCCUCUGCCUUUCUCUUAGUUUUGCUGUGAGGAACUGGACGGUGAAAAGGGUCAGGAUUAGACUUAGAACCAAAGCUACCAAGGGAACUGGGUUAGACAGAUCCAUGAAGAUGGAGGUACGUUUGGGAAAGCUGGUCUAUCAAUGUUAGGUGAAGGCUGUAUUAAACUAGAGAAGUCGUUCUGAAAUACUAAUAAUAUCAACGGAGAGAAGUCCUUCUGCCAAGUUAUUCCUCUCAACCAAACGUGUCACAACCUAAUUGGACUACAUUCGGACAAGCCCGAAACGUGGUUCUCUCGAAUUUCACAAGGUGAAAUUUUUGAAAUUGGCAAAAAAUUACUAAUAAAUUUCACCACAACCAGAUAACAAAACAAAGGGUCAUACUUAUUUUUUCCUUAGUUAUGAUGGUAAAGGACAUACAUAUCUGUUCUAUUCGGUUAUUUUGUAGUUAAGUAAAGAGAAUGAUUUUUUAAUUUAAUUUUUAAAUAAAAAUACGUGUAUUUAUCAUGUUAAGUUUAAUAUUCAGAUGAAAAAUUAAUUAGAAUUUUAUUUCAAAGCAUAUGAUACAAUUAAGUAACUUAAGUACAAAGAUGAUUAAGCUUAGCAAACAAGGAAAUGUCAUAUUUCUCAAUCCGAGAGAUAAGAAGCACAGAGCCAAAGGCCCUGCAAAAAGGCAGGGGAGAACUGAAUUGUUGUUUCCUAAAACUUUGCAUUAAGAUCAACAUGACUUUCUAGUCAUUAAAUAUUCUGCUAGAUUUCGAACUUGCAAAUAUGGUCUGUUUUAAUGAAAUUGCAGAAUGUUGUCUCAGGUCUCAACAACUUUGAUUUCACUUCUUUUUCAAGGAAAAAAAAAUGGUUUCACUUAGUUUGCAGAAGUGUCCUGAACUCAAUUUUCAGACAAAAGUAUGGUUCGAGACUCCUUGGUGAGUGAAAGUAAUUCUUCAUCAUAUUUAUUCCUUUAUUUUUCUUUUUGGAUAUCAUUGUAUUUAUUCUUGUGCAAGGACAAGUACAUGCAUACUCAAACCUUGCAAUUGCCCAGCAUACAGAACUGAGCCAACAGAUGAAACCCGUGGUCAAAUAGGCAAGAAAGACUAAGUCUGACAUCUGGGAAAUGCGCGGACAUGAAGGCCCCCAUCUACGUGAAGAGUGAUCAUCGUCCUGUAGGUGACAGAUUUAUUCUCAUCACUCAGUUUGAACACAAAGUAGUGCACCAGAACAGCCGAGAAGAUCUUCAUCUGCCUAUAAGCAAAUUCCUUGCCGAAACAAAUUCGAGGGCCUGCCUGUAAACCAUUAGAAAAUAAAGUUCAGCAUGUUCACAUCUUUAGCCGGUGAAAUCACACUUGUGAAACAAUAUGAGAAGUUUGAACUUUCGGAAAAAGACCCAGAACCAAAAAUCAAAUGCUGUUAUACUGCUUUUUUAGCCUCUUUUUCUAUUUGAGGUUUUAUUUUACACCAAGUGCCAAUCAGAAUAAUAAUGCUUUGGCCGAUCUGGAAACGAAGCGUACAAGAACUUCUAAUUUGUAGUAUGUUCUGCACACCUGGAAUGCUGUAAACUUAAAAUGGCUUUCUGGUUGGAACAUCCCAUCCUCAUCAAGCCAUCUCUCUGGUCUGAACUCCUCUGCAUCAUCACCCCAUAUGAAUUUCAUUCUGCCCAUUGCAUAAGGUUGAUAACAAACCAUAUCUCCUUUCCUCACACUGAACCCAUCUGGAAGAGUAUCAUCAGAAAAGCAUAUCUUUGCAUCCUGCAAUCAAAGUGAAGAGGUAGUGAGAUCCAAAGAAAACCCCAGAACAUAGAAAGGAAGCUAAUUUCUAGCCUUCCCGAUACGCAUUGAAUGGAUAUCAGUUUAUAGAUGCAUGUUCUUUGAUGUGCAUUAACAAGUUCAGUUGGAGGAUUCAAGAUUCAAGGAAACUUUGCUUACAACUGGAACAGCGGGGUAGAGCCUUAAUGUUUCAGUUAAGGCUGCAUGGAGAUAGUGCAUUUUUCCUAGAGCUUCUUCGCUCAAGAUAGCAGCAAAUUCAGCAAAA
rnacentral:lncRNA from 1 species